UACGUAGGGGGCAAGCGUUGUCCGGAAUUAUUGGGCGUAAAGAGCGCGUAGGCGGUCCGGUAAGUCGGUUGUGAAAGUCGGGGGCUCAACCCUCGGAUGCCGAUCGAUACUGUCGGGCUAGAGUCCGGAAGAGGCGAGUGGAAUUCCUGGUGUAGCGGUGAAAUGCGCAGAUAUCGGGAAGAACACCUAUGGCGAAGGCAGCUCUCUGGGACGGUACUGACGCUGAGACGCGAAAGCGUGGGGAGCAAACAGG
rnacentral:rRNA from 1 species